GUGGCUGCAGAUGCAAGAAAAUCAAGUUCUUUGAAGAUGAUAAAAAUAGGGUUUCAUCCCUAUUCUCUGCACUCUCAGAGAGAGCUAGGGAACCAUCAUUUUGGCUUUAGGUCAUUUCAAGAGGUCCUUCUGUCAAAUGAAAUCACUCCAAACGAGUCUCACCUGACUACAUCCGGUGAGCUGCCAAAAUGGAAAACUAAUCCUACACGUUUAAAGCCCAAAUUGAGGAGAAACAAUUACACAUUGGGUGUAUAUACUCGAUCUAAUAUGAUUUUGUCGUGCUUGUAUUUUAACUAAAUUAGACAAUUUUUUAUGCAUGAAAAAUUAUAUUAGAUUUGGUGUAUAAAUUUGAUGUACCUAAUAUUUCUCAACUCGAGGCAUGUUAUCCCAAAGCAAAAGGGUCAAAUGUCAAUGAGCAACUUUGAAAAUUGGAAACUUACAUACUUUUUAAGCGCCAUUUAUUGACUCGGGGUAAUACAAACCACAUGGUACAUUUUCUUGAA